rnacentral:rRNA from 1 species
GACGAACGCUGGCGGCGUGCUUAACACAUGCAAGUCGAACGCUGAAGCUCUGCUUUUGUUGGGUGGUUGAGUGGCGAACGGGUGAGUAACACGUGAGUAACCUGCCCUCUUCUUUGGGAUAACGCCCGGAAACGGGUGCUAAUACCGGAUAUUCGCUGCUCCUCCAUUGGGGGUUGGUGGAAAGGGCUUUUGUUGGGGGGGGUGGGCGCGCGGACUAUCAUGUUGUUGGUGGGGUGAUGUCCUACGGAGGCUUAGGAGGGUAGCCGGCCUAAGGGGGUGAGCGGUCAUAUGCGGACUGAUAGAGGGUGCGGACUGCUACGGGAGGCAGCGGUGGGGAAUAGUGCGCAAUGGUGGCAAGCCGGAUGCAGCGAGGCGGCGUGAGGGAUGGAGGGGUUUGGGUUGUUAACCGCUUUCGCCCACUGUCGAGCCGCAACAAGGGUUAUGGAGAGUGAUGUGGAUAGAGAAGCGGCGUCAAUCCACG